rnacentral:rRNA from 1 species
GUGGGGAAUCUUGCGCAAUGGGCGAAAGCCUGACGCAGCCAUGCCGCGUGGAUGAUGAAGGUCUUAGGAUUGUAAAAUCCUUUCACCGGUGAAGAUAAUGACUGUAGCCGGAGAAGAAGCCCCGGCUAACUUCGUGCCAGCAGCCGCGGUAAUACGAAGGGGGCUAGCGUUGCUCGGAAUUACUGGGCGUAAAGGGAGCGUAGGCGGACAUUUAAGUCAGGGGUGAAAUCCCGAGGCUCAACCUCGGAACUGCCUUUGAUACUGGGUGUCUUGAGUACGGGAGAGGUGAGUGGAACUCCGAGUGUAGAGGUGAAAUUCGUAGAUAUUCGGAAGAACACCAGUGGCGAAGGCGACACACUGGCUCAUUACUGACGCUGAGGCGCGAAAGCGUGGGGAGCAAACAGGAUUAGAUACCCGUGUAGUCC